rnacentral:rRNA from 1 species
GACGAACGCUGGCGGCGUGCUUAACACAUGCAAGUCGAACGGAAAGGCCCUGCUUUUGUGGGGUGCUCGAGUGGCGAACGGGUGAGUAACACGUGAGUAACCUGCCCUUGACUUUGGGAUAACUUCAGGAAACUGGGGCUAAUACCGGAUAGGAGCUCCUGCUGCAUGGUGGGGGCUGGAAAGUUUCGGCGGUUGGGGAUGGACUCGCGGCUUAUCAACUUUUUGGUGGGGUAGUCGCAUACCAAGGCUUUGACGGGUAGCCGGCCUGGGAGGGUGACCGGGCACAUUGGGACUGAGAUACGGCCCAGCCUCCUACGGGAGGCAGCAGUCGGGAAUAUUGCACAAUGGGCGGAGGCGUGAUGCAGCAACGCCGCUUGCGGAAUGACGGCCUUCGGGUUGUAAACCGCUUUCACCUGUUACGAAGCGUGAGUGACGGUAAUGGGUAAAGAAGCACCGGCUAACUACGUG